UUUAUUUUGGAAUCUUUUCCUGUUCUCAAUCAUACAAUAAUAUUUUCACCAAAAAAAAAAAAACAAAAUAAAUAAAUAAAUAAAUAAAUGGAAAAGCCUCGGACUCACCCCCAACUGCUGUUCUAUGCUUUCUUUUAUAUAAGGCCCUUCAACCAGUGAGCUUGGAUAUCCCUCAGUGACUCUUCUCUCUUCUUCAAUCUUCACCACCAUGGGAUCCUCGCUGUUGCUCCCACUGCUCUGCGCCGGGGUGGUCACUGUGGCCACUCUCUUCCUCCCCUCUUCCUUCGCCUCCGAGGCUUAUCCCUCUGCCUACGGCUCGGGCUCCUGCAACGUCGAGCUCAUCCCCGUGAAACGAGAGGUCUACGCCGACGGACGUAUCUUCGACAUCACUCACCCAUACACCCCCAACAUGCCCACCUUUGGGACCGACGAGGGAAUCGGCGAGGUCAUAUGGUUGGAGAAGAGUAUGAAGAACGGAUCUAUCACCAAUAACUCUCACAUGAAAAUGCCCACUCAUACCGGCACGCACGUUGACUCGCCGGGCCACGUCUUCGACCACUACUUCGAUGCUGGCUUCGACGUCGAGACUCUUGACCUUGAAGUUCUCAACGGACCUGCACUGUUGGUUGAUGCUCCAAGGGAUAAGAACAUUACUGCUGAAGCUAUGGAGUCCCUACAGAUUCCAAAGGGGGUACGUCGUGUGCUUUUCAGAACAUUAAACACUGACAGGAAGCUUAUGUUCAAAAAGGAAUUUGAAUCAGACUAUGCUGGAUUCACAGAGGAUGGAGCAAGAUGGCUAGUUGAGAAUACCGACAUUAAACUUGUUGGGAUUGAUUACGUAUCUGUUGCAACCUAUGAUCAUAUUGUCUCUGCCCAUCUUCCUUUCCUUGAAGGCAGGGAAGUGAUUCUUGUGGAAUCCCUGAAACUUGACGAUGUGCCAGCUGGAAUGUAUAAUGUCCAUUGCUUACAUCUGAGGUUGCCUGGGGCUGAGGGAGCACCCAUAAGAUGCAUUCUCAUUAAGUGAUCACCCUCCUGUAAAAUACUUUAAGUGGUUUAUCACCACAAAGUUGAGUGUCUGUUAUCAUCUUCUGCUAGUUAGUUUGUGCUGAGAAGUUAGCCAAAUAAGACGCAUUCUCCUUAUGCCAAAACUUUCUCCCAAGUUCUGUAAUGUAAGUGGGUUACCACCACGUAGCCUGUGUGUCUGUUAUCAUAUUUUGCUUGUUAAUUCCAAAUCUCUGCUUCAUUCCCUAGGUAAA